AUCGGCCACAUUGGGACUGAGACACGGCCCAAACUCCUACGGGAGGCAGCAGUAGGGAAUCUUCCACAAUGGGCGAAAGCCUGAUGGAGCAACGCCGCGUGGGUGAAGAAGGUCUUCGGAUCGUAAAACCCUGUUGUUAGAGAAGAAAGUGCGUGAGAGUAACUGUUCACGUUUCGACGGUAUCUAACCAGAAAGCCACGGCUAACUACGUGCCAGCAGCCGCGGUAAUACGUAGGUGGCAAGCGUUAUCCGGAUUUAUUGGGCGUAAAGGGAACGCAGGCGGUCUUUUAAGUCUGAUGUGAAAGCCUUCGGCUUAACCGGAGUAGUGCAUUGGAAACUGGGAGACUUGAGUGCAGAAGAGGAGAGUGGAACUCCAUGUGUAGCGGUGAAAUGCGUAGAUAUAUGGAAGAACACCAGUGGCGAAAGCGGCUCUCUGGUCUGUAACUGACGCUGAGGUUCGAAAGCGUGGGUAGCAAACAGGAUUAGAUACCCUGGUAGUCCACGCCG
rnacentral:rRNA from 1 species